GGGUUGUGAGGUUAAGCGACUAAGCGUACACGGUGGAUGCCCUGGCAGUCAGAGGCGAUGAAGGGCGUGCUAAUCUGCGAUAAGCGCCGGUAAGGUGAUAUGAACCGUUAUAACCGGCGAUACCCGAAUGGGGAAACCCAGUGUGACUCGUCACACUAUCAUUAACUGAAUCCAUAGGUUAAUGAGGCGAACCGGGGGAACUGAAACAUCUAAGUACCCCGAGGAAAAGAAAUCAACCGAGAUUCCCCCAGUAGCGGCGAGCGAACGGGGAGGAGCCCAGAGCCUGAAUCAGCAUGUGUGUUAGUGGAAGCGUCUGGAAAGGCGCGCGAUACAGGGUGACAGCCCCGUACACAAAAGCGCAUGUGCUGUGAGCUCGAUGAGUAGGGCGGGACACGUGGUAUCCUGUCUGAAUAUGGGGGGACCAUCCUCCAAGGCUAAAUACUCCUGACUGACCGAUAGUGAACCAGUACCGUGAGGGAAAGGCGAAAAGAACCCCGGCGAGGGGAGUGAAAAAGAACCUGAAACCGUGUACGUACAAGCAGUGGGAGCCCCACCACCAAAGCAUUCUCUGGUGUUGAAGGCCCUGCAAAGCAGCAUCGCGGUGGCGGAGCGUCGUUUGCGACGCCCAACACACAAAACAAGCGGUGAAUGCUUUGGGGUGGGGUGACUGCGUACCUUUUGUAUAAUGGGUCAGCGACUUAUAUUCUGUAGCAAGGUUAACCGAAUAGGGGAGCCGGAGGGAAACCGAGUCUUAAUUGGGCGUUAAGUUGCAGGGUAUAGACCCGAAACCCGGUGAUCUAGCCAUGGGCAGGUUGAAGGUUGGGUAACACUAACUGGAGGACCGAACCGACUAAUGUUGAAAAAUUAGCGGAUGACCUGUGGCUGGGGGUGAAAGGCCAAUCAAACCGGGAGAUAGCUGGUUCUCCCCGAAAGCUAUUUAGGUAGCGCCUCGUGAAUUCAUCUCCGGGGGUAGAGCACUGUUUCGGCUAGGGGGCCAUCCCGGCUUACCAACCCGAUGCAAACUGCGAAUACCGGAGAAUGUUAUC
rnacentral:rRNA from 2 species